rnacentral:rRNA from 1 species
AUUGAACGCUGGCGGCAUGCCUUACACAUGCAAGUCGAACGGCAGCACGGGUGCUUGCACCUGGUGGCGAGUGGCGAACGGGUGAGUAAUACAUCGGAACGUACCUUAUCGUGGGGGAUAACGCAGCGAAAGCUGUGCUAAUACCGCAUACGCCCUGAGGGGGAAAGCGGGGGAUCGCAAGACCUCGCGCGAUUAGAGCGGCCGAUGCCUGAUUAGCUAGUUGGUGGGGUAAAAGCCCACCAAGGCGACGAUCAGUAGCUGGUCUGAGAGGACGAUCAGCCACACUGGGACUGAGACACGGCCCAGACUCCUACGGGAGGCAGCAGUGGGGAAUUUUGGACAAUGGGGGCAACCCUGAUCCAGCAAUGCCGCGUGAGUGAAGAAGGCCUUCGGGUCGUAAAGCUCUUUUGCCAGGGAAGAAACACCGGCUCUAACACAGUCCGGGAAUGACGGUACCUGAAGAAUAAGUACCGGCUAACUACGUGCCAGCCGCCGCCGUAA